rnacentral:lncRNA from 1 species
UGGCGUGAACCCGGGAGGCGGAGCUUGCAGUGAGCCGUGGUUCUGAGGUUGUGCCACUGCACUCCAGCCUGGGCAACAGAGCAAGACUCCGUCUAAAAAAAAAGAAGGAGCCAACUCUGAAAUGCUGGAGGGAAAGUGAAUGUGUGAGACUUACUGAGAGAUGGUGUGUUUAUAAACAAUCGUGUUUACAAAAGCACAUAUUUCUGAGUGACUGGAGGGAUUUUCAAGGCUUAUUUGACCACAUGUGUGAUUGUUACUUUACAGGUUGAGUUUAGAACCUAACCUCAGCCUUACAGGCAGUAGGUAGCCUUGAACAAAUGUUUAGCCAGUAGUGGUAUCUUGCAGUUUUUCCUUUAUUUAAUGAAUUUGCUAAGAUAUAUCUGGCUAUAUGCUUAAAGAUUUUGCAAAAUAUUUUUUUAAAUUAUUUUGAAAUUCUUUAAAAAGAUUUGUUUAUUAAUAUUCUUUAUAGAAUACAGAGUUUUCUUCAUUGGAACAGAGGAAAUGUAAUAACUUCAUUUAUUGCUAGGGCUGUUAUUGAUUCUAAACAAUUCUAUGAUAGGCUUCUGCAAGGAAUUUCAAUCUUAUUUAUGAUUAAAGUACAUACUAAUGAACACAGUAGCAUUAUUAAUAACCAUUUUCUUUGGUUAUUCAAUUCAGGCUUUGUUUUGUGAAUCCCCCUACACACACACACACACACACACACACACACACACACACACACAUCGCUGUUGUAUAAGACGGUGGGUAUGUAGUGGGCAUUUCUCUAAUGUGCUUAAAUAAGACAGGGUUUUCUCAUACUGACUCUUACUGUUCUAGCCAAGGAGACUCUGUUUGAAGCAAGAAGGCAGGGGUACUGGAAACUGAUUUCUUGUGUCCUUGCUUUUUUCUUGUGAAGAGUCUAAAUUAGUCUAUUUAUCAUUUGAUAUUUUGAAUUCCAGAGAAACUUAGAUAACUGAAGGGAAUACCUCAGCAGAGUGUAGGCUUCUCUAUUUUGUUCUUAUUAAAUUAUCAAAGAAGGAAAUGAAUAUGAAUUAUUUAAAAUAAUCGUCCUUGGAGGUCUUGGGUACUGAGUCAUUUGAAUGGACUGGUAAGGAGGUGGCCCAUUUUGUUUGUUGAUUUCACCUUCCUGAGAGUGGCUGGCACAGACAGAGGAGAUAUUUUUCUGCUCAGACCUAACCCGAUUUCAUUAUCUUUCUGCAUUCACCGCCUGAUUUUAUUCUGUAAAGUAUGAACACCGGUCUGACUUCUCUAUAUCUUACCUUGUCAUUUAAGCAUAUGAAUUGUAUUAUGUAACAUAAAGGGGAAAAUAUGAAAACCAGUUCCUCUCAGUAAACCUUUUAAAACAUUAUUUAAAAGCCCAGCCUCCUACAAUUUCCAAAGUUCCUGGUAAUUUUUUUCAGUGGAGUUUUCAGUUUACUGAUUUUUUUUUUCACUCAGAAGGGGCUGUGAAGUCAACAAUUUUAAGGCAGUGUGGUUUAAGUGUUUUAAGUUCUGUUUCUGUUAAAUGUAUUCUAUUCAUGUUUACAAAGCAACAGAAGAAAGCUUAGAGAAUUAAGUACACAUAAAUUUAAUCACACAAGCUUGAGUAGCUAGAUUAACUUCAAAACGAUCAGUAAAUAAUAUUUUAAACUUCUACUGACCUUAUUAAAAUACACUUCCAGAAACAUUCUGUUUGAACUAUUCUUGUAAAUUAGUCAUCUUGCAAAACAGCUGUGACAAUAUGAUAUAAUGAAGAGAGCAGUGAUUUAGCAAUGAGAAGGCUGGGAGUCCUUGUCUUGGCUCAUUCACAGGGAGAUCACAUGACAUGCCAAAGUCCCCUAGAUGAGGAAGCCAUGCAUUGAGAGGAUUGAGGAUUGGGUCAAUGAUCUAUCAUAGAAUACUUUCUAUGAGUCUGUGCUUAAACUUAGAAACCUCACAAAGAACACACUGGGGAAUUUGGUGCAAGCAGGAGCUUCACCUCAUGCAGAAUUGCAGUGUGAUUUUAGAGUGCUGUUACCAUUCUUAUGCUUAGAAGGCAGAGUGUCUUCAGUUAGGAUUCUGUCGUGUUUAAUGGAUCCCACUCUCGUUGGCUUAGGCAGAAAGGUGUUAAAUGGUUUGCAGAAUUGUUGGGAAGGCUAAGCUUCCAGGAGCAGCUCCCAAAGUCUCCACACACAACUGGACCACCAGGGAACCUGCUCCCUCCACCAGGACAGGACUUGGAAACCUGCCACCGCAAUUACCAGCACCAGAAGGAUCUUGUCUCUGCUAAGUCUCUGUCGACAUAGUGAAUACCCUGUGCCCUGCCUCUCUCUCCCUGACUCAGGUCCCAUUCCAGGUCUUGCCCAAGUCUUUCUGAUUGGUGGGACUUAAAUCACACCCAAAAUUCCAGCUGCAGGAGAGCUCUGAGAUUUCAUCUUUCCAACCUCUGUGUGCUACGUGGGGGUUGGAGCACUUGCUGACAAGCCUUGCAACCACCAUUGACAGUAAGUGAGAUAUUUAUGAUCAAUAACAUUUGCAUUUUUCACAAUUUACAGUAUAGCUGUACAUUUUAUUUAGAGCUAGUAUCAAGUCACUCUACAGAUAACAAUAUUAUUUCUGACCAUUUUGGAAGAAAACAGCUUUUUGGAUGUCCUCCACCUUUUCAAUC